rnacentral:rRNA from 1 species
UACGAAGGGGGCUAGCGUUGCUCGGAAUGACUGGGCGUAAAGGGCGCGUAGGCGGCUCAUACAGUCAGAUGUGAAAUUCCUGGGCUUAACCUGGGGGCUGCAUUUGAUACGUGUGGGCUUGAGUGGGGAAGAGGGUCGUGGAAUUCCCAGUGUAGAGGUGAAAUUCGUAGAUAUUGGGAAGAACACCGGUGGCGAAGGCGGCGACCUGGUCCUUGACUGACGCUGAGGCGCGAAAGCGUGGGGAGCAAACAG